rnacentral:rRNA from 1 species
GUGGGGAAUUUUGCGCAAUGGGGGAAACCCUGACGCAGCAACGCCGCGUGAGUGAUGAAGGCCUUCGGGUCGUAAAGCUCUUUUAGUGGGGAAGAAGCCCACCCGGGCCAAUACCUCGGGUGUCUGACGGUACCCACAGAAAAAGUUCCGGCUAACUACGUGCCAGCAGCCGCGGUAAUACGUAGGGAGCAAGCGUUGUUCGGAAUUAUUGGGCGUAAAGAGCGCGUAGGCGGUUCGGUAAGUCUGACGUGAAAUCCCGGAGCUCAACUCCGGAACUGCGUUGGAUACUGCCGGGCUUGAGUGUGGGAGAGGAGAGUGGAAUUCCCAGUGUAGAGGUGAAAUUCGUAGAUAUUGGGAGGAACACCCGUGGCGAAGGCGGCUCUCUGGACCACAACUGACGCUGAGGCGCGAAAGCUAGGGUAGCAAACGGGAUUAGAUACCCCGGUAGUCC